rnacentral:rRNA from 1 species
UACGAAGGGGGCUAGCGUUGUUCGGAAUCACUGGGCGUAAAGCGCACGUAGGCGGAUCUUUAAGUCAGGGGUGAAAUCCCGAGGCUCAACCUCGGAACUGCCUUUGAUACUGGGGAUCUCGAGUCCGGGAGAGGUGAGCGGAACUGCGAGUGUAGAGGUGAAAUUCGUAGAUAUUCGCAAGAACACCAGUGGCGAAGGCGGCUCACUGGCCCGGAACUGACGCUGAGGUGCGAAAGCGUGGGGAGCAAACAGGG